rnacentral:rRNA from 1 species
GACGAACGCUGGCGGCGUGCCUAAUACAUGCAAGUAGAACGCUGAAGAGAGGAGCUUACUCUUCUUGGAUGAGUUGCGAACGGGUGAGUAACGCGUAGGUAACCUGCCUUGUAGCGGGGGAUAACUAUUGGAAACGAUAGCUAAUACCGCAUAACAAUGGAUGACACAUGUCAUUUAUUUGAAAGGGGCAAUUGCUCCACUACAAGGUGGACCUGCGUUGUAUUAGCUAGUAGGUGAGGUAAUGGCUCACCUAGGCGACGAUACAUAGCCGACCUGAGAGGGUGAUCGGCCACACUGGGACUGAGACACGGCCCAGACUCCUACGGGAGGCAGCAGUAGGGAAUCUUCGGCAAUGGGGGCAACCCUGACCGAGCAACGCCGCGUGAGUGAAGAAGGGUUUCGGAUCGUAAAGCUCUGUUGUAAGUCAAGAACGGGUGUGAGAGUGGAAAGUUCACACUGUGACGGUAGCUUACCAGAAAGGGACGGCUAACUACGUG